rfam:Triticum aestivum genome assembly, contig: Triticum_aestivum_CS42_TGACv1_scaffold_249893_3DL
AUUGUACUCCCUCCGUUCGAAAAAGCUUGUCCCUCAAAUGGAUGUAUCUACCACUAACUUGGUGCUAGAUACAUCCAUUUGAGGGCCAAGCUUUUUUGGGCGGAGGGAGUAUAAG